UACGUAGGUCCCGAGCGUUGCCCGGAUUUAUUGGGCGUAAAGCGAGCGCAGGUGGUUUAUUAAGUCUGGUGUAAAAGGCAGUGGCUCAACCAUUGUAUGCAUUGGAAACUGGUAGACUUGAGUGCAGGAGAGGAGAGUGGAAUUCCAUGUGUAGCGGUGAAAUGCGUAGAUAUAUGGAGGAACACCGGUGACGAAAGCGGCUCUCUGGCCUGUAACUGACACUGAGGCUCGAAAGCGUGGGGAGCAAACAGG
rnacentral:rRNA from 1 species